rnacentral:rRNA from 1 species
GACGAACGCUGGCGGCGUGCCUAACACAUGCAAGUCGAACGGAACGGCCCUGCUUUUGUGGGGUGCUCGAGUGGCGAACGGGUGAGUUACACGUGAGUAACCUGCACCUGACUUUGGGAUAACUUCAGGAAACUGGGGCUAAUACCGGAUAGGAGCUCCCGCUGCAUGGUGGGGGUGGGAUAGUUUCGGCGGUUGGGGAUGGAAUAGCCGCCUAUCAGCUCGUUGGGGGGGUAGUGGCUUAGCAAGGCCUGGCCGGGUAGCAGACCUGGGAGGGUGGCAGGCCCCAUUGGGAUUGGGCUACGACCCAGCCUCCAACGGGAGGCAGCGGUGGAGAAUAGUACAUAGUGGGCGGGAGCCUGAUGCAACACCGCCGCGUGCGGGAUGACGGCCUGCGGGUAGGAAACCGAUUUCGCCUGUGACGAAGCGUGAGUGACGGUACUGGGUAAAGAAGCACCGGCUAACUACGUG